AUGAAUAGGGCGGGGUCAGACAAGGGACUAUAUAAACAGCUGCGCCUGCAGCUCGCAGCGUACAUCGUGCUGGGACUUUGAAGCGUCGUGUUGUCUUUGUACUCACAGAGGACCGAACAAAAUGGCAUCAGAUGAGGGAAAGCUCUUUGUUGGUGGACUGAGUUUUGAUACCAAUGAACAGUCACUGGAGCAAGUCUUUUCCAAAUACGGACAGAUAUCUGAAGUGGUCGUGGUGAAAGACCGAGAGACCCAGCGAUCCAGAGGCUUUGGAUUUGUCACUUUUGAGAACAUAGAUGAUGCUAAAGAUGCAAUGAUGGCCAUGAAUGGAAAGUCUGUUGAUGGGCGUCAAAUUAGAGUUGACCAGGCAGGUAAAUCAUCCGAAAACAGAUCCCGUGGAUAUAGAGGGGGUUCAUCAGGUGGCAGAGGCUUUUUCCGUGGAGGCAGAGGUCGAGGGGGCCGUGGCUUCUCUAGAGGAGGUGGAGACAGAGGCUAUGGAGGAAGCAGAUUUGAUUCCAGAAGUGGUGGAUAUAAUGGAUCUAGAGACUACUAUAGCAGCAGCAGGAAUCAAGGUGGCUAUGGUGACAGGUCUUCAGGAGGGUCCUACAGAGACAACUAUGACAGUUACGGUUGAAGAGAAGAUGGACAUUUGAGCCUGAAACAGCAUUCCUGAACAUUUCAUGAAAGCAGUACCAACAAUCAACUUCCUAAGCAGCAGUGAGCUGCAUUGAAGAGGAUUGAUACAGCUGUUGACUGAGCAAUGGAGUUCAAGAGCUUUGAGCAGUGUAUAAUAUCUGAUAUAGAUCAAGUGAACAAUCUGACUUGUAACAAUUAUAACUGAUAGAAUAAAUUGGAUUGGAAAAAGCAAUGAUUUUUAAUAAAUUCUAUAAAUAAAUGCAAGAAAGAUGUAGUCGAGGCACAAUUUGAUAGAUUUUGGGUUAUGUGCAUAACCCAAUAUAAUUUAAAGCGUUGGCACUGUGGAAAUCUGCCCCUACUUGUGAAGGUCCAGUUGAUCAGUAAAGGGUUAAAGAUCAUUGAGUGAGUCCCUGUGUAGGAUUCUAAGAGGUUUGUUUGUGACGGGAGGGAGGGGGGGGAAUGAAGGCUGUUCUUCAAAAAUAAUUUAGAAUCUUGCCAUUUUAAUGGCUGUUGAGCAGGUAAUGAUUUGGUGGUUUUACCCCUUCAUGACCAAGUCCAAGUUCAAAAAAAUACAACCUGAAGUCACUGAAACACCAUUGGAAGCUUGUAUUUGGAUGUUCUAGUGACAUGUAUUCUACCUGUUUUGCAUUCACAAAUAUUACUACCUUCUGAUGACCAAGUUUGAUGGGGCACUAUGAUCAUUUAAGCAACUACAUAAAUACUAGUGGUCAAUAUUAGUGUCUGUUUCAAACCUAUUAGACUAAUAAACCUUGAAAUUUUAGAAAUAAAAUUUACAUAUUGAAAUUUUUGCCUUCUAGAUUAAGGUUCAUGUACAUUAGUCUACAGGUAUAAUUGUUUUGCACCCUCUGCUGAUGAAUGUUAAAAUAAUUCUAGGGGAAAGUGUCAAAAUUACACUAAAUAGUUUUCUAAAAGCUUUUCUAGAAAACCUCCAUAUUGGGUGGCAAAUCAGAGCUCACUAUUCUGCAACUAAUUUUUGCCAUUUACCAAUUCCCAGCACCAAAAAAAAUUCUACCUAAGUACUGUUAUUACUUACUCCUUUUCCAGUUGAGAAAUCUGUUUCUUUGCAGCUUACCGUAAAUGGCUGUUUGAGACUUCUCAUACUGUUAGGAGAAAAAACAUUCACAUUUGGGUUUGAUUAAAUAAUUCUAAUUUGAGUUUAUGCCCUGAGAUCUCUGCUAAUCCUAUUGUGUAAAUCAUUUAGCAGUUGGGCUACUGAAGGUGACUCAGCACUCGCAAAACCUUUUCUCCCAAGCCUCUGUCCACAAUAUGAAAUUGUCUAUUGGGGCAAUUGCCUAGUACUGAACUAGUUAUAGAGUCCUGACUUAAUAAGGAAACUAGUAUGUUGAAGGAAUGCUGGCCCAUUAACUUGCAUUUAAGUACCGCAGUCAGACAAGCUUUUCAGAAAUACUUUAAUGUUGGGGAAGACUUUCAUUACAAUAGUGCUCAGAAGCCUCAGUUACUUUGAAGCCCCCUAGUUUUGGUGCUGUACAAAUGCCUAAUUCUGUACAAAAGUUUAGAAUAGGGGCUAAUCUACAGUUUUUGUACUAUUCAUGUAGAAACAUAACAGUACAACCUAAUGCAGUUGUAGUUACUGUUAUA